rnacentral:rRNA from 1 species
GGAGCCGUAGCGAAAGCGAGUCUGAAUAGGGCGUUUAGUAUUUGGUCGUAGACCCGAAACCAGGUGAUCUACCCUUGGUCAGGUUGAAGUUCAGGUAACACUGAAUGGAGGACCGAACCGACUUACGUUGAAAAGUGAGCGGAUGAACUGAGGGUAGCGGAGAAAUUCCAAUCGAACCUGGAGAUAGCUGGUUCUCUCCGAAAUAGCUUUAGGGCUAGCCUCAAGUGAUGAUUAUUGGAGGUAGAGCACUGUUUGGACGAGGGGCCCCUCUCGGGUUACCGAAUUCAGACAAACUCCGAAUGCCAAUUAAUUUAACUUGGGAGUCAGAACAUGGGUGAUAAGGUCCGUGUUCGAAAGGGAAACAGCCCAGACCACCAGCUAAGGUCCCAAAAUAUAUGUUAAGUGGAAAAGGAUGUGGCGUUGCCCAGACAACUAGGAUGUUGGCUUAGAAGCAGCCAUCAUUUAAAGAGUGCGUAAUAGCUCACUAGUCGAGUGACACUGCGCCGAAAAUGUACCGGGGCUAAACAUAUUACCGAAGCUGUGGAUUGUCCUUUGGACAAUGGUAGGAGAGCGUUCUAAGGGCGUUGAAGCAUGAUCGUAAGGACAUGUGGAGCGCUUAGAAGUGAGAAUGCCGGUGUGAGUAGCGAAAGACGGGUGAGAAUCCCGUCCACCGAUUGACUAAGGUUUCCAGAGGAAGGCUCGUCCGCUCUGGGUUAGUCGGGUCCUAAGCUGAGGCCGACAGGCGUAGGCGAUGGAUAACAGGUUGAUAUUCCUGUACCACCUAUAAUCGUUUUAAUCGAUGGGGGGACGCAGUAGGAUAGGCGAAGCGUGCGAUUGGAUUGCACGUCUAAGCAGUAAGGCUGAGUAUUAGGCAAAUCCGGUACUCGUUAAGGCUGAGCUGUGAUGGGGAGAAGACAUUGUGUCUUCGAGUCGUUGAUUUCACACUGCCGAGAAAAGCCUCUAGAUAGAAAAUAGGUGCCCGUACCGCAAACCGACACAGGUAGUCAAGAUGAGAAUUCUAAGGUGAGCGAGCGAACUCUCGUUAAGGAACUCGGCAAAAUGACCCCGUAACUUCGGGAGAAGGGGUGCUCUUUAGGGUUAACGCCCAGAAGAGCCGCAGUGAAUAGGCCCAAGCGACUGUUUAUCAAAAACACAGGUCUCUGCUAAACCGUAAGGUGAUGUAUAGGGGCUGACGCCUGCCCGGUGCUGGAAGGUUAAGAGGAGUGGUUAGCUUCUGCGAAGCUACGAAUCGAAGCCCCAGUAAACGGCGGCCGUAACUAUAACGGUCCUAAGGUAGCGAAAUUCCUUGUCGGGUAAGUUCCGACCCGCACGAAAGGCGUAACGAUUUGGGCACUGUCUCAACGAGAGACUCGGUGAAAUCAUAGUACCUGUGAAGAUGCAGGUUACCCGCGACAGGACGGAAAGACCCCGUGGAGCUUUACUGUAGCCUGAUAUUGAAAUUCGGCACAGCUUGUACAGGAUAGGUAGGAGCCUUUGAAACGUGAGCGCUAGCUUACGUGGAGGCGCUGGUGGGAUACUACCCUAGCUGUGUUGGCUUUCUAACCCGCACCACUUAUCGUGGUGGGAGACAGUGUCAGGCGGGCAGUUUGACUGGGGCGGUCGCCUCCUAAAAGGUAACGGAGGCGCUCAAAGGUUCCCUCAGAAUGGUUGGAAAUCAUUCAUAGAGUGUAAAGGCAUAAGGGAGCUUGACUGCGAGACCUACAAGUCGAGCAGGGUCGAAAGACGGACUUAGUGAUCCGGUGGUUCCGCAUGGAAGGGCCAUCGCUCAACGGAUAAAAGCUACCCCGGGGAUAACAGGCUUAUCUCCCCCAAGAGUUCACAUCGACGGGGAGGUUUGGCACCUCGAUGUCGGCUCAUCGCAUCCUGGGGCUGUAGUCGGUCCCAAGGGUUGGGCUGUUCGCCCAUUAAAGCGGUACGCGAGCUGGGUUCAGAACGUCGUGAGACAGUUCGGUCCCUAUCCGUCGUGGGCGUAGGAAAUUUGAGAGGAGCUGUCCUUAGUACGAGAGGACCGGGAUGGACAUACCUCUGGUGUACCAGUUGUCGUGCCAACGGCAUAGCUGGGUAGCUAUGUGUGGACGGGAUAAGUGCUGAAAGCAUCUAAGCAUGAAGCCCCCCUCAAGAUGAGAUUUCCCAACUUCGGUUAUAAGAUCCCUCAAAGAUGAUGAGGUUAAUAGGUUCGAGGUGGAAGCAUGGUGACAUGUGGAGCUGACGAAUACUAAUCGAUCGAAGACUUAAUCAA